UUUAUAUUUAAAAAGAGUAUUUGAAGGAAAGAUGCCAAAAGUAGAAACCAAGCAACUUUGGGUCACAAGGGCCGCUGCUUCUGGGUCACAGCCCAAGGGAGGCAUGCCAUGGGCUCCCUGGCCUGCUUCCAUUGCCUGCUGGCUAAGCGAUGCAGAGAACUACAGCAGCUGCCUCAGACCCAGAGGCUAAGCCAAGUGUUCAGGAUGGCAGAGCCAUUGGACCAGCUGUGGACUCUAUGCCUCUGAAGAUGUACUCAAGAAAUAAACUGGAUUACGUUUAA
rnacentral:lncRNA from 1 species